CCCUUAGAUGUCCUGGGCCGCACGCGCGUUACACUGAUGCAUUCAACGAGCUUAUAACCUUGGCCGAGAGGCCUGGGCAAUCUUGUUAACAUGCAUCGUGAUAGGGAUAGAUUAUUGAAAUUAUUAAUCUUGAACGAGGAAUUCCUAGUAAACGCAGAUCAUCAAUCUGCAUUGAUUACGUCCCUGCCCUUUGUACACACCGCCCGUCGCACCUACCGAUUGGAUGGUCCAGUGAAGCCUCGGGAUUGUGGUUCUUGCCGCUUUAUUGUGGCGUGACCGCGAGAACUUGUCUAAACCUUAUCAUCUAGAGGAAGGUGAAGUCGUAACA
rnacentral:rRNA from 1 species